UGGGGAAUAUUGCACAAUGGGGGAAACCCUGAUGCAGCGACGCCGCGUGAAGGAAGAAGUAUUUCGGUAUGUAAACUUCUAUCAGCAGGGAAGAAAAUGACGGUACCUGACUAAGAAGCCCCGGCUAACUACGUGCCAGCAGCCGCGGUAAUACGUAGGGGGCAAGCGUUAUCCGGAUUUACUGGGUGUAAAGGGAGCGUAGACGGCAUGGCAAGUCUGAUGUGAAAACUUGGGGCUCAACCCCAAGACUGCAUUGGAAACUGUUAAGCUAGAGUGCAGGAGAGGUAAGCGGAAUUCCUAGUGUAGCGGUGAAAUGCGUAGAUAUUAGGAGGAACACCAGUGGCGAAGGCGGCUUACUGGACUGUAACUGACGUUGAGGCUCGAAAGCGUGGGGAGCAAACAG
rnacentral:rRNA from 1 species